ACUCAGUUUCAUGAUAAUUAUUUCAUUAAGUUGAAAACACAUUUGUACCAAAAGUCAGUCAUAACCCUAAAAGUUCUAUAAUUUUUGGUUGAAUUAUAUGUAACAUGGGCUAUUCUUACUGGCUAUGAAGAGAUAAAAUACUUUUAACACUUAUAUUACCUGAAGUAUAUGAAAUGUGUUCCCUUUAUUUUGAUUUCUUAGGCAGAUGGAGGGGUAAAAAGUCCAAGCUGAAAUAUCACUGCCAAGCAAGUUCACUAAACCCAGCCACAGGGAAUGCAGAGGGUUUUGACUGACAUGCAUUCAUUUGAUGUCUUCCACCAUGAAGUCUCUGAUGAGGUAGCAAGGCAAAAAAGUUAAAUCUUUCUCCCAUCUUCUCAGGAUUCAUUAACAUAUCAUACCCAUGAAGUAACUGCUGCCUCAUUGAUGGCUCAUCUGAUUUAUCUAAAAGAACCUGAAAAGAAAAAAAUUCUUAGCAAAAAUAACCAGAAGAAUUUGUAGUUGUAUGCAGCAAUACUAAUGACUCUUAAAUAUUCCAAUAAAGCAGUACUCUGCAUGUGAUUUCAGAUUACCUGCCUGAGAUUCAUAGGGUGCUUAUUAAAAAUGUGUAGGUUGCUGUGACCCAAACUUAUAGAUUUGCAUUUUUAACAAAUACCCCAGGUGGUUUGAUCUAUAUGGUAAGGUUUAAAUGUCCUAAGAAGAACAGUUAGAAGAUUCAUACCCAUGAAUACAGUUUUCUUAAUGAACACAACACUAUUUGGAAGUCUUAAUUCUACCCAACAUGGAGAUGCAUGAAACUUACCAAGCUGUCUGGUUACACUAAAUCCUACAUUACCGAAAAGACUGAAACACCAAGGAUCUGGAUAACUACCAGAGCUUAAGACCAGGCACUGUAGAAACCAAAGACCUUCACUGAGCCUCAGAUGUAACAAUGAAAUCCUGAUAAAUCAUGUUACUGAAUGACACAUACUCUGAAGGUAUCUGUCUUUGUUCCAUCAUGACCAUAAUCGGCAAUCAGUGCAGCACCUCCAGUUAGUGCAAUGCGCUGGGAAAGUUCCUGAAUGAUAACACCAGCAUCAGGACACACUUCAACGUGAUCCCUUGUUUCAUCAUGCUGACAUUGAACUCCUCCUAUAAAGCAGACGGUCUCAUCACCAUUUGACAGUCAGGAAACUGAGGUAAACACAGAAGAUCUCGGUACCAGGAAAUUGGAAUCCCAGACUUCGUGACACCUUUCAUAUAUACUGGGGAUCCAGCAUCUCGUUCUAAUGGGACCUUCUCUUCAGUCAGUGUCAAUGCUUGAAUCUCACUUAAUUUUUGGCUCACCUCUACCAGAUGUAUUGAAAUGUCACAGUUUUUCAGCACAGACCCAAGCUGACUGAACACCUAAAUACAGAAAGAAGGAAAAAGUUCUGGCAAAAUACAAUGUGUUAAAUAGAUUUUAGGUUUUCUAAUCAUUUACCUCAAUAAUUUAAUCCUGGCAUAAUAGAAGGAAUGUUUGGUUUCAGAGAGAAUAUGCUUCUUAGCCAAGUCACUCUCCAGUAGUCUAUUAAGAGUCAUAAAUUAGAGUUAUUAAGUAUAACCUACAUAAAAAAUGAACCAUGCCCAAUUUGGUUUCCUAAUGAUAAAUUACAAUUAACAAAUGAAAAUAAAAGAUUUAGCAUCCAAUAAAAACAAUGAUUCAGAUUAUGAAGUCUAAAAAAAGACCAAGGGAAUAAAAUGUAUAAAGCCCUUGGUUUUGUAAAGUCUCUAUGUCUCUGAAAUAAUCUCAUCUUCAAGAUGAUAAAACUGUAUCCUCGGAGAAUCAAAUUUGAAUAGCACUAAUAACUUGACAGCUUAACUCUAGGACUCUACCACAUUUUCAAUUUUUACUACACAGCAUUUUUUUACUGUUGUAAACAUGCAAGAGAAAAAGGAAAAUACUAAUAUUUUACCAAUCUUUUAGGGCUAAAAAUUCAAUGGCAAAAGCAUAAAAUGUAUCAAUAUUAUUUUUCACUUGAAUUUAAUUUUCACUGACAUGCCUCCUACUUUUAAGAUAUGAACAUGCAGAUACAGACUGACAAUAUAAACAAGAUGAUUUUUCCAAAUGUAGUGUUAAGAUGAAACUUCACAUGGAAAAACUUCCCAAGAGAAAAAUCCUUCAGUAGGUAAGAUCAAAAAUAAAAACAGUGCUAUAAUACUUCUUCAGCUGUUUUCUUUA